rnacentral:rRNA from 1 species
AUUGAACGCUGGCGGCAGGCCUAACACAUGCAAGUCGAACGAGUGGCGGACGGGUGAGUAAUGUCUGGGAAACUGCACGAUGGAGGGGGAUAACUACUGGAAACGGUAGCUAAUACCGCAUACCAUCGGAUGUGCCCAGAUGGGAUUAGCUAGUAGGUGGGGGAAUGGAUCACCUAGGCGACGAUCCCUAGCUGGUCUGAGAGGAUGACCAGCCACGCUGGAACUGAGCCACGGUCCAGACUCCUACGGGAGGCAGCAGUGGGGAAUAUUGCACCAUGGGCGCAAGCCUGAUGCAGCCAUGCCGCGUGUGUGAAGAAGGCCUUCGGGUUUUAAAGCACUUUCAUCGGGGAGGCGUUACCCGCAGAAGAAGCACCGGCUAACUCCGUGCCAGCAGCCGCGGUAAUAC